rnacentral:rRNA from 1 species
UACGUAGGGGGCAAGCGUUAUCCGGAAUUACUGGGUGUAAAGGGUGAGUAGGCGGUAUGAUAAGCCAUAUGUGAAAUCCCAAGGCUCAACCAUGGGACUGCAUGAGGAACUGUUGUACUAGAGUGCAGGAGAGGUAAGUGGAAUUCCUAGUGUAGCGGUGAAAUGCGUAGAUAUUAGGAAGAACACCAGUGGCGAAGGCGACUUACUGGACUGAAACUGACGCUGAGUCACGAAAGCGUGGGGAGCAAACAGG